rnacentral:rRNA from 1 species
AGCGUAGGCGGACAUUUAAGUCAGGGGUGAAAUCCCGGGGCUCAACCUCGGAAUUGCCUUUGAUACUGGGUAUCUUGAGUAUGGAAGAGGUAAGUGGAAUUCCGAGUGUAGAGGUGAAAUUCGUAGAUAUUCGGAGGAACACCAGUGGCGAAGGCGGCUUACUGGUCCAUUACUGACGCUGAGGUGCGAAAGCGUGGGGAGCAAACA